CCCUUAGAUGUUCUGGGCCGCACGCGCGCUACACUGUUCGACGCAGCGAGUCUUAACCUUGACCGAAAGGUUUGGGUAAUCUUCAGCAAAGUCGAACGUGAUGGGGAUCGAUCAUUGCAAUUAUUGAUCGUGAACGAGGAAUUCCUAGUAAGUGCAAGUCAUAAGCUUGCGCUGAUUACGUCCCUGCCCUUUGUACACACCGCCCGUCGCUACUACCGAUUGAAUGGUUUAGUGAGAUCUCUGGAUUGACGCUGGCUAGGGGGCGACCCUUGGCCAGACUGUUGAGAAACUGCUCAAACUUGAUCAUUUAGAGGAAGUAAAAGUCGUAACA
rnacentral:rRNA from 1 species